CCUACGGGAGGCUGCAGUAAGGAAUAUUCGUCAAUGACCGGAAGGCUGAACGAGCCAUACCGCGUGCAGGUCAGUGCCCUAUGGGCGUUAAACUUCUGUUGUGCGGGAGCAAUAAUGGUCACGUGUGGCCAUACGAGAGUACCGGACGAUUAAGCAUCGGCUAACUCCGUGCCAGCAGCGGCGGUAAUACGGGUGAUGCAAGCGUUAUCCGGGUUUAUUGGGUUUAAAGGGUGCGUAGGCUGUGGGUUAAGUCAGCGGUGAAAUGCCCCGGCUCAACGGGGCGACGUGACAUGGAUACUAGCUAGCUGGAAUGCGGAUGCCGUAAGAGGAAUGUGAGGUGUAGCGGUGAAAUGCAUAGAUAUCACACAGAACACCGAUUGCGAAGGCAUCUCACGAAUCCGCGAUUGACGCUGAUGGACGAAAGCGUGGGUAUCAAACAGGAUUAGAUACCCGGGUAGUC
rnacentral:rRNA from 1 species